CAUAUCAAUAAGCGGAGGAAAAGAAACCAACAGGGAUUGCCCUAGUAACGGCGAGUGAAGCGGCAACAGCUCAAAUUUGAAAUCUGGCGCAAGCCCGAGUUGUAAUUUGUAGAGGAUGCUUCUGGGUAGCGACCGAUCUAAGUUCCUUGGAACAGGACGUCAUAGAGGGUGAGAAUCCCGUAUGUGACCGGCCCGCACCCUUUACGUAGCUCCUUCGACGAGUCGAGUUGUUUGGGAAUGCAGCUCUAAAUGGGAGGUAAAUUUCUUCUAAAGCUAAAUACCGGCCAGAGACCGAUAGCGCACAAGUAGAGUGAUCGAAAGAUGAAAAGUACUUUGGAAAGAGAGUUAAAAAGCACGUGAAAUUGUUGAAAGGGAAGCGCCUGCAACCAGACUUCGCGGCAGUGUUCCGCCGGUCUUCUGACCGGUUCAUUCUCUGUCGCGAGGCCAUCAUCGUCUGGGCCCGCCGGAUAAGACCUGAGGAAUGUGGCUCCCCCUCGGGGGAGUGUUAUAGCCUCUGGUGAUGCGGCGUGGCUCGGGCGAGGUCCGCGCUUCGGCAAGGAUGAUGGCGUAAUGGUUGUCGGCGGCCCGUCUUGAAACACGGACCAAGGAGUACUAACAUCUAUGC
rnacentral:rRNA from 2 species